ACAGACUUCAACCCUAUUGUCCCUCUGCAAAUUUGUGUACACAGAGUCAAUCCCUUACCUCUCUCUAAAAGUGCAACGUUUCAAAAAGUUCAAUGAACAGAAGAUUGUUGGGGACGAAAUAGAUCUAGACAAGGAGAAGUCUGGAGAUAAAUGUGAGAAGGGAGGGACAUGCAGCAGAAACAAAAGUGAAACUGUUUGAGCAACAUAUUCCAGAAGUCUUGAGGUCUUUCUGAGUGUAGCCUUCGUUGAUUUGAGAUCUACCGUACAGGGCUGGCUCCAGACAGGCAUGCAAACAGUGCAACAAAGAAAUACAAGGCCCGGUUGUCCAAAUGAAACAUCAUCAUGAGAAGUGUUCCUUCUCAGAAGGAAGCUGCGUUGAAGAUGAUGAAAGGAACAUGUCUGAACAUGCAGGAUCUUCAGACACAGCUGUACAACCCAAAGCUCAGCCGAGUAACUGAUGACUGAGGCAGCAGGCCAGCAGUUAUGGCAUCACUAUUCUCCUGAAGACAGGGAACCAGCUUACACAUCAAAGCAGCAGGCUGCCAUCUCACUCCCUAUUUGAGAUGCACACGCUCAGAAUGCUUCGCAUGAAAGACCUCGGUAGAUGAGCACCAUCCCCUGGUGUCAUUACAGAGUGUUUAAAUAAAAUGUGGGUAUCUGAGGAACAUCAACUAAAGGAAAAA